UGUGACACUUGCUUUGCUAACAGCAUUUU
rnacentral:piRNA from 1 species